GUGAGGAAUUUUCCGCAAUGGGCGAAAGCCUGACGGAGCAAUGCCGCGUGAAGGAUGAAGGCCUAUGGGUUGUAAACUUCUUUUCUCAGAAAAGAAUUAUGACGGUAUCUGAGGAAUAAGCAUCGGCUAACUCUGUGCCAGCAGCCGCGGUAAGACAGAGGAUGCAAGCGUUAUCCGGAAUGAUUGGGCGUAAAGCGUCUGUAGGUUGUUUAAAAAGUAUUCAGUCAAAGAUUAGGGCUUAACCCUAGAUAGGCAGAAUAAACUUUUAAGCUAGAGUGUGGUAGAGGCAGAGGGAAUUCCCGGUGGAGCGGUGAAAUGCGUAGAUAUCGGGAGGAACACCAAAGGCGAAGGCACUCUGCUGGGCCAAUACUAACACUGAGAGACGAAAGCGAGGGGAGCAAAUGGGAUUAGAAACCCCGGUAGUCC
rnacentral:rRNA from 1 species